UUUCAGCAGCUGGAAGUUCUUCAUUUCAUGUGAUGUGGGUCAUUAGACCAGUGAUUGGAAUCGUUCUGAUAGUUCUGCCUCUGCUGGUGUGUCGGUUCAGACGCUCCAAAGGUAUCAGAACAGCACAGACUGUCAUCCAGGAUGACCAUCAGCAGCAAGUGUACUCCUCUCUCCUCCAUGGAGAUCUUGGGGUUCAUGAAACAAUCAGAGGGUCUGGAAACUCUGGAAAUGGUCAAGAACAACAGGAUGGUACUAAUGUGACUGCAGGGUCAGACUAACCUGGAACAUUUUUUCUAGAGGGGUCCUGUCUAGACCUAAACAUCUUUGAUCUGGGUUCAAAUCCUUUGGCUCCUCAGAACCUACCAUGACAGUAGUAUCAGCGGCACCAGGAUGAAGUCCAGUCAUCUGAGAGUUUUCCUUCUAUCCAGCAGCUUUUUUAUCAUUAACCAUCAAAUACUUUAUUUCACUGUUUUCAGUUAUUGAUUUGGAU